CAACGCUAAUCCAAGCGCAGCCGAAGUAGUGUUGUUCUAGUGCAAGAUUGACUUACGGCAUCUCAAUGUAACUAACUGUUAGAAGCACGCGGUGUUACGGCAAUCUCUCGCCAACUUUCCUUCUCUCAUUUGUUGGGGUGAAGCGGACUCUCGGCGGAACUGCGCAACGUGACGCAGAACAAGUGUCCAAUAUAAACUGAGAAUUGAGAAUUCCUCCUAACCAAAAUUAGAAUGCGGGAUUGUCUAUUCCUCAAGUCAUUCACCAAUUCAUCCUCAGGACCUGCUUCAGUUCCAAGUCUUCCACCGUCUUCCCAUGGUGACAACACACCCAGCACAUCCAGUUCCACAGCGAGCGUCUCUCGCGAAUACAACCUUACAGUGCAGGCCAAAUCCUAUGCGGAGAUUAGGUCCAUGAUGCAGGGUGCUCCAGCGGAGGGCGAAGUGCACCUUCUUAACCCUGACGGAGAUUGUGUAAAUGAAGCACUCAACAACAACACAAUAAUCAGAAACAGAAACGGCAGCCUCACCAGCCUCAUUAGCACUUACUUCAACCAUACCGAAACCGCCUCGCAGCACUGCCUCCGCCUUCAUCGAUGCGUCGAUCGCGCACGAGCCAUGUACGCACCCCUCUUCGACCUCCGCGACUCCCAUGAUUGUGACCGCACCUUCGAUCUCUUCGUUCAGUUCGAUGGCAACGAAAACCCUUUCCCUGAUUCAAAUGUCUCCAGUAAAGACAUCCGUAACUGCCUCACAGACCUUAGAAACCAGCUUGAUUUUGGCCUCGGCAAGUCUCGCUCUCGGAUUCGCCUCUUCCGGCGCGCUACUGCCGGUUCUGCUCUCUGUUUCGUCGCCACUGCGGUUGGAGUGGCAGCUGCGGCGGUUGCACUCACAAUUCAUGCCGUUUUUGCCCUUGCCGCCGCUGCUGGUCCCUUUUGCAGUGCUUACAUCCCCAAUCCGAGUUGUGCGGCUGAAAAGAGGGAAGUUGCCAGGCUGGCACAGCUAGAUGCCGCUGCCAAAGGUGCUUACGUGCUGAGCUAUGACCUCGACACCAUUGAUCGACUCGUGGCUCGACUCCACACUACAAUUGAGGGAGACAAGCUUCUUGUUAGGAUGGGGUUGGAGAGGGGAAGGGCGAGUUAUCCUAUCCAGGAGGUUUUCAAGCUCCUAUGCAAGAACAAUGAAAGUUUUCUCCGCCAGCUUGAUGAUCUUGCGGAGCACAUAUGCCUCUGCAUUUACACUGUCAACAAGGCGAGAGUUUUGCUCCUUAAAGAGAUAUGUGGUCAUCAAACUCCCUAGUUCCUGUUUUUAACCAAUUGAUCCUUUUUUUGUUUGUUGUAUGUGUGAUCAUUGCUGGUCCAGGUCUUCAACGUAAUCUGCUAUUUCAGGAAAGGGUUUAAACUAAUGUUUGUGCUAGAUUUCAGUUCAUACUUCAUACUGCUAUGGCCUAUUGAAGAAACACCCUUAUUGUAUUCACCAUAACCAUCCAUUCAUUCAUAUCAGAGACAGAGAGUAGCUUGCCACCUAAUAGCCAUUGCCACCCUAGUUCAUAUUUCAUUGUUGUGGAAUGUUGAUUGAUUGCAGUAAUCAGAUACAGAUUCAGUUUUGUUUAUGAAAGGAUGCUUUUGUUUGUUUGUACAUAUGCUUGCUUUUUAUGUUGAAGAAUGGUGUGGCUUCGGCAUUUCCAUCUACUUUUUUCAAAGAGAAACCCAGCUUCAUAAUUUGUCUGAAAGAGGUUUGGUCUUUGGUUGGUUGGUCCUUCAAUUUUCUUAGAAAAUUUUCACUUAGAAGUUUUCAUUAAUGGUUUUCAUUGUAUGGCCAGAGCGUUAGGAGGAGGCGAAUUGAUGAGAAGAUGAAGGCCAUGGAAAAAUUAAUUCCGAUUCGAAUAAGACAAAUUUUGAAGUGGACGAAACACCAUCGUAUGAGUCUUAGAAUUAAGGAGUUUCGGACGCUGAAAAUAAUGAAUUUUGGGUGUUAUGAUUAUGUUUUUUGAUGUUGGAAUUGAAGAGUUUUAGAUGUAGAGAUAAUAAAUUUUGGAUAUUAUGGAGUAUUAUGUUUUCCGGGUUGGAAAUGAAGAACACUGAAUGUUAGAAAUAAUGAAAUUCGGAUGUUAAGGGUGCAAAAAUAUAAUGAAAUUUGUAAAUAAUUGAGUCAUUUCAGAUGUUA